AGUUUGAUCCUGGCUCAGAUUGAACGCUGGCGGCAGGCCUAACACAUGCAAGUCGAACGGUAGCACAGAGAGCUUGCUCUUGGGUGACGAGUGGCGGACGGGUGAGUAAUGUCUGGGAAACUGCCCGAUGGAGGGGGAUAACUACUGGAAACGGUAGCUAAUACCGCAUAACGUCUUCGGACCAAAGUGGGGGACCUUCGGGCCUCACACCAUCGGAUGUGCCCAGAUGGGAUUAGCUAGUAGGUGGGGUAACGGCUCACCUAGGCGACGAUCCCUAGCUGGUCUGAGAGGAUGACCAGCCACACUGGAACUGAGACACGGUCCAGACUCCUACGGGAGGCAGCAGUGGGGAAUAUUGCACAAUGGGCGCAAGCCUGAUGCAGCCAUGCCGCGUGUAUGAAGAAGGCCUUCGGGUUGUAAAGUACUUUCAGUGANGAGGAAGGGUGUGAAAUUAAUACUUUCAUGCAUUGACGUUACUGACAGAAGAAGCACCGGCUAACUCCGUGCCAGCAGCCGCGGUAA
rnacentral:rRNA from 1 species